UGGGCAUUCUGAUGAGCUCUGAUAUAGAGCGAAACAAGCAUAUAUUUAGCAAUUGUCCUCCGUCUUGAAGAGACAUGAUGAAGUAAUCUGAUCACCAGAAUUGUUGAAGCUAAUAUUAGAUCAUUCAGUGUCACAAGAAUAUCAUCAUUUAAUGUCAAUAUGAGAGUAAUAUCAAUGAAUUCAUACUUCCAGUUCAUAAUUUCAAAACAUACAUUUUUAUAACACAAAAAAGUUGAAUAUAAUCUUAGCGUCUCGUACUCUCGUCACUGUCAAUCUAUUGAACUCUUCUGUUGUUUAUAUUAAAACAGCAUCCAAAAUUAUCUCCAUAACGCACGAGCUUGAACAAAAGCUGUUUAUCCAGCUUUUGCACGGUCAAAAAUUUCGCACUUGGCUUUGGCACGAAGACAGGAACUGCAACCACAUUCUCAAUCACACUUGUUUCGAAUUUCGUCAAGCGAAAAGCUUUCCCCAAGUGCUUCUGUCAUAAUGACAACAACAACUCUGGCAACAUGUUUCGAGGGAUUGAUACCACAUGAACUAUUUUCGUGAUUAGACACAAACUCCAAAGGUAAACACUAAACACAAAUUAUUCGAACUCACACCUUCGGGAUUUCGGUUCGCCGCCCCAGCUGUUGUAUAUAGCAAGUCACACAAGGUUCAAAGCGGCCUGUUUAUUCACAAUGUUUACUUACAGUAUAAGAUUGUGUUAUUGUGUACAAAAAUUUCCAGUGUAGAAAUGUACAAUAAAUGCAGCGAAGUAUUGUAAAACAUUGCACUCCUCGGUCACAAAUUAUGUGGAAUGUUACUUUGAACUCGUCAUAUACUUCAUCUUAUAUAAUUAAUGUGGAUCAAAACAAAAAACGUAAACAAAGUCCAGCGCAUGCGCAGAUGCGACUUUAACCUACCUUUA